rnacentral:rRNA from 1 species
GAUGAACGCUCUCGGCGCGCCUAACACAUGCAAGUCGAACGAGCGAGAGAGAGCUUGCUUUCUCGAGCGAGUGGCGAACGGGUGAGUAACGCGUGAGGAACCUGCCUCAAAGAGGGGGACAACAGUUGGAAACGACUGCUAAUACCGCAUAAGCCCACAGGUCGGCAUCGACCAGAGGGAAAAGGAGCAAUCCGCUUUGAGAUGGCCUCGCGUCCGAUUAGCUGGUUGGUGAGGUAACGGCCCACCAAGGCGACGAUCGGUAGCCGGACUGAGAGGUUGAACGGCCACAUUGGGACUGAGACACGGCCCAGACUCCUACGGGAGGCAGCAGUGGGGAAUAUUGCACAAUGGGGGAAACCCUGAUGCAGCGACGCCGCGUGGAGGAAGAAGGUCUUCGGAUUGUAAACUCCUGUUGUUGAGGAAGAUAAUGACGGUACUCAACAAGGAAGUGACGGCUAACUACGUGCCAGCAGCCGCGGUAAAACGUAGGUCACAAGCGUUGUCCGGAAUUACUGGGUGUAAAGGGAGCGCAGGCGGGAAGACAAGUUGGAAGUGAAAUCUAUGGGCUCAACCCAUAAACUGCUUUCAAAACUGUUUUUCUUGAGUAGUGCAGAGGUAGGCGGAAUUCCCGGUGCAGCGGUGGAAUGCGUAGAUAUCGGGAGGAACACCAGUGGCGAAGGCGGCCUACUGGGCACCAACUGACGCUGAGGCUCGAAAGUGUGGGUAGCAAACA